GAACGGAUAAGUAAAUUGAAUUCACAACUUAUAAAUCACAACUGAAGGUAAUCAAUUCAUAUUACAAAUAUAAUCAUGGUUUCGAAUUAACCUCUAACCAACAUAAAUUUAAUUACACAUUAUUAAAAACAGAAAUAAAAUAGGAGUUUGGAAAGAUUAAACCGAAAGAAGGUGAUCUGCUGCUUUCGCGCCCGUGUGAACUGCGCCUCGCUGGUUUUUCCGCGUUUUCAUGCUUUGCGUCAGUCUCAGCUGCAAGGGCAGUUUCCCCCGUGCUCACCUCUCUCCAUACUCACCAUGCCGUGCUCACCUUUGGACUGCUUCUUUCCCCGCGCCUGUCCUGCCCUCUCUAGUCCGUGCCUUCCUUCUCCUCUGCGCAGUCCUCGGGCAGCUUCCCGUGAUUUCCCCCACGCCUGCCUUCUUGUUUCUGCCUUGUCUUCUUUCACCCCCGCAUGUCCUGCCCUUUCACCUGCCCUUUGACCUCUCUCCUGCUUCUCCCUUUUUCGCUGCCAAGGGCAGCUUUCUUCCCCCUAUCCUGCAAAGCCCCCCCGUCCUCUCCGCUUGUCUCUGCGAGCU
rnacentral:lncRNA from 1 species